rnacentral:tRNA from 1 species
CUCCAGUUAGCCUUGUGGUUAAGGUUACGGAUCGCCAAUCCGGAGAUGACGGGUUCGAUUUCCGUUCUGGUCA